UGCACAUGGUUGCAGGGACUUGGGCGUAUUGAUUUUAUAUGCGACCACUUGUUGUGUCAGAAGUGAAACGUGUUUGGGUUAGAAUUGUGAAGAGAUUUCGUUUAGUUAAUUUGGUGGGGAUGAAUGGUCAGAGCCCGACAGCGAGUAUGCCAGUAAUGAGGAAGAAUAAUGAGAACUUCGAAUGCUAUCAAGAGAACAUGUGCAAUGUCAAUAAUCUAGUUUAUUGUUUAAUUCAUUGGGCACUAUUGUUAAUAAAUUUACCUUGCUUUCAUACUUCUCGUUCUGUAAUAAAAAAAACCUCUGUGUUGUUCCUCUUGCGGAACAACAAAACAUAGUCUAGAUUCUGAGUGUUCUAUCUUAAAUACUUUCUCUAUCAUUUACAAUAAAAAUGUAGUUCAGUGCCAACUUCAAAGUUGUAUACUAGCCUUGGGAAGCAAUUUAGACCAUAAGUUUUAUGUACCCGUUACACGCACUGUGUGUGUAUUACGCAAUACAUUGGUUACAAAGGUUAUCUGACGAGCUGUCUGCCAUGAUGCCAGCUGAGACAAGAUAUUCUCAGCCUUACCAACCGAGCUGACAGUACAUAACAGUCCUUCCCUCCAAGUGAUUUUUACCCUAAGCACUUGUACAUAUUGGUUAUACACAAUGGAGAACGUAGUCACUGAAGUUUAUUGGUAUUUUCUUGACUCAUGUGGAUCGCUCCCUCACCCUCAUUGGCAAGUUACUCAGCUCCUGGGGAUGUCCCUGGGUCUCCUGCAGUGAGAACUCCAAGGUUCCAGCAAGCUCCUCAGAUGUUUGCUGUCCUGGACGAACAUGAUCGACUGCAGCUGCCGAACCGCAGUCACUAGGAAACCCCAAAAAUGGUAGCUUGGAGUACCCCAACAUUAGGGAACCGGCCGCUCGCUGGAGGGGCAUCUCGCUGCCACUCAUCUUCGUACCAGAUGAUCCUGGUUGUGUCGCUGUACUGCUUGGAGGCCUCUGUGGUUGCUGCUGAAUCUCUGGUCUCCCCCGAUGGACAGCUUCCUGGAGUGAUUCUUCUUGCUCUUGGAGCCCCGUCCCAGGUGCUCCUCCCACCGGUAACCUCGAGCUCCCCUGGAGUCAUGUACAGAUAAUGUGUCGCACCAUCUGAUCGACAUGUCUCCGUGCCAUGUACCUCCAGCCUGCACUUGGUAUGUAACUGGACCCUCCCUACGUGCCACCACUCCAGGGACCCACUUGGGUCCAGCUCCAUAGUUGCGUAUUAACACUGGGUCCUUUUCACUAAACUGUCUCAUUUUACCAUCUCACCCAUCCUCCACUAACCCUUUUCCCGCACCCGACAGCGACCACGGGUGCAGCUUGUCGAAAACUGUCUGCAGCUUUCGACCCAUCAAGAGUUCGGCAGGCGUCUUCUGCAUGACCGUACUGGGAGUUGUGCGCAACGAAAAGAGCAGUCUGUGCAAUCUCGUAUUCCAGUCACCUGCUUCCAACUUCUUCAACUUGUCCUUGACAGUUUGCACCAUUCGCUCGGCUUUCCCAUUACUGGCCGGAUGGUAUAGGGGCGUAUACUUGCAGAUGACUCUAUUCUUCUCUAGAAAGGUCUUCAUUUCACUUGAAGCAAAGGCAGUCCCAUUAUCAGACACCACAACGUCCGGAAUACCAUGGUUACUAAUCAUACUCAGCUCCUGCACCACUACAGCCGAUGACAUUGACGGCACCAUCCGUACCUCUGGCCAUUUUGAAAAGGCAUCAAUGACAACCAGAAAUGUUUUCCCUUGAAAGGGCCCCGCAAAAUCAACAUGCAGAUGGGACCAUGGUCUCUGGGGCGUGCUCCAUGGCAUCUGAGUCUUCGCUGGUGCCCUGCGUUCGGCCUGACAUAUCUGGCAAUGGCUGACAAUCUCCUCAAUGUCUUAGUCCAGUUUUGGCUACCAGAUGUAGCUUCGAGCUAUGUUCCAGUAGGGUCGAACCUCCUCACUUGGUAGUAUUGUGGCCAUCCAUGCAACACAAAUUUCUUCACUCUCUUCAACACUGGAUCCUCGUUCACACAUCGUGCCAUGGCCUGGGCGUCCAAGAGGGCGUCCGGCAUUGCUUCAAACAUCAGGAUAUCUGCUACUGCCGAGACUUCCCUUGGUGAUGUCGGCUGUGGCAACCUGCUCAAGGAGUCUGCAUGUCCAAUCCGAACCCCUGGCUUAUGCAUGAUGGUGUAGUCAUACAUGCCCAGCAACAGACUUCACAGUAACAUGCGAUGUGAUGUAUCACUGUAACAUGCGAUGUGAUAGUAUGUCCGGGGUUGGGCGCUUGGGAUCCAAAAGUCGUAAUAAUGGCCUGUGGUCCGUCACCACUGUAAAUGAUCUGCCUGCCAAAUAUUGACGAAAUUUAGUUACCCCAAAUAUCACUGCGAGGGCUUCCUUGUCGAUCUGCGCAUAGUUCCGCUUACAUUUUUUCAGUGUCCGCGACCCAAACGCCACCGGUCUCUCCUCACCAUCAUCCAUGACGUGUGCCAACACUGCACUCACGCCAUACUCUGUGGUGUCGCAUGUUAGCACCAGAGGUCUUGUGGUAUCAUAAGGGACCAGCACACAGUCUGUUUGUAGCAAUUCCUUGGCCUUGGUAAAUGCAGCUGCAUGCUGUGUCUCCUAUUUCCAGACAGCGUUUCCAUCAAGCAGUCGGUGUAGUGGCUCCGACACACUAGCUUUAUCUCUCAAGAACCGCUCAUAGAAAUUGAUAAAGCCCAAAAAAGACAGUAGGUCUUUCUUGUUUUGGGGCACUGGUACCCUACGAAUUGCUUCCACUUUGUCGUGUGUGGGAUGUAUCCCUUCCGCAUCUAUCCUAUAACCUAGAAAAUUCACCACUGCGGAUGCAAAAACACACUUGGACUUAUUCAACCGUAACCCAGCCUUGUCUAUCCUCGCCACUAUCUCCACUACAUGUGUCCAGUGAUCUUCAUUUGGGCCCACUAUUAACACAUCGUCCAGUAGCACUACCACCCCUUAUACUCCUGCUAAGAGUGUUUCCAUGAGCCUCUGGAACACGGCAGGGCCACUGCUCACUCCAAACUGUAAUCGGCGUACCUUAAAAAGUCCCUUGAUGGUAUUGACAGUCAACAAAUCUGCCGUUCCCUCGUCGACUCCAACCUGCAUGUAGGCAUCCUCCAAGUCCAGCUUCGUGAAAUAUUUACCCCCUGCCAGCGAUGCUAGAGCUUCUAUGUUGGUCGGCAACGGUUAACACUCUGUCUUACAUGCUGGAUUGAUUGUGCCCUUGUAGUCAGCACAUAUGCGAAUGGACCCAUCCAAUUUCAUAAUAGGCACGACAGGUGUCACCCACGAUGAAUACGGAACUGCCUCAUAAGCUCCUCGCAUAAUCAGCUUGUCGAUUACAUCCCCUACCUUGUCCCUUAUUGCAAACGGCACUGGUCUGCAUUUCCUAAAUACUGGUGUGGCUCCCUCUUUAAGCGCGACGGAUACCAGUGGACCCUUAUACUGUGCAAACAGCUGCUGUCAAAUACCUUUGGAUACUUGUCUACCAGUUCCUCCACCCAUCGGCUCUUCUGCACAACACUUGGUUCCUUGCAACUCUACCACGAAAACACCCUCCACCUAAAUCCCAAGGGGCUUCAACCAGUUCCUCCCCAUCAAACUCGGCCCUUUCCCAGCUGCCACUAACACCAGAAGCGGUACUGCCUCACUUCCCUUUGUUUUUACCAAGACUGUUUUAACUCCCUUGACCCGCAACUGUUCCUGGGACCAUGUACGCAUUGCGAUGUUACACAUGUCCAAUGGUGGCUGUUUGGGCCACAGGGCCUUGUAUGUUUCCCCACUAAUAACAGAAAAACUUGCGCCUGUAUCUAUUUCCAUGCAGUGUUUGUUGCCAUCCAACCAAACGUCCAUGACAAAGGGUGCCUUACUUUUCAAUGCUCGCAGGUUAUUCAAACUGUACACUGCUUCAUUCUGUUCUCCCUCUUGCUCUCUUACUGUAUCUGACAACAUGUGAGUAAGUCCAGAGUUAGACUUAUUCCCCACAUUUCCCUGUCGAGCCCCACCAAUAGGCCUACCUUGUUUUUGUUUCGUAAUAUAGGCUUUCUCUAUGUGGUCUUGUUUGGAACAAAACCGACACAUAGUUGUCACAUGCCGACACUCUUCCGCAACAUGAAUCCCUGUACAUCGCCAGCACUGUUGUUUCCGUUUGUUUUCCUGGGGGCCCAUCAUUUGUGUACGUAUUCCUGUGUCCAUGUUUGCCUGAAUACCGUCCGGACGUCUGCCGGUAUGGCUUCUGCCCGCCAUUGCAUGCACCAGAUGUUCGUCAACACGUGUUGGACUUACCUUGUCUCCUUUUCCACGUAUGUCCAAUAUGUUCUUCCGAGUUGCCUCAGCUGCCAUAGCAAUAUCCACUGCCUCUUUGAAGCUCAGUGGAUCCUUAGACAGUAACACGUGCUGAACCAAUCUUAUCUCGCACACCACACACCAGUCUGUCUCUCAACAUCCUCUCCAAAUUGGGGAAGUUACAAUGCGUGCUCAAUCGCCGGAGUUCCGCCCGAUAGACUGCUAUCAUUUCAUCCGCUAGCUGGUCACAUUUCAAAAAUUUGUAUUUCUCCACAAUCUUGCUGGGUUUCGGUUUGAAAUGUACGGAAAGCUUGCUGAAUACCUCGGCGAUGGGUAUCUCAUUGGUAGCCUGUGGAGCUAACAACGAUGAAACUAAGUUGUAGAGUUCCACCCCGCAGUCAGUGAAAAAUACAGCGCGUUUUGCUUCGUCGUUUUCAAUUUUAUUAGCUAUAAAAUAAAACUGCAUCCUUUCGCGGUAACUCUUCCACGUGUCCCGACCCGGCACAAACUCUCCCAUAACCCCAAUCGCCGCCAUCAUCGCCUGUACACCACUCCACACGCACGAACCGAUCCGGAAUUCCUCCUUUUAUGUACCCGUUACACGCACUGUGUGUGUAUUAUGCGAUACAUUGGUUACACAGGUUAUCUGACGAGCUGUCCACCAUGAUGCCAGCUGCUGACUAACGAACCAUAGACAACACAACAUUCUCAGCCUUACCAACUGAGCUGACAGUACAUAACAAUAAAUUUUAUCAAUGUGUUCAACCUGCAGCCAAAGUUUGUCGGACGAAUUCAUAUUCAUUCUGUAUACAUCAAUGGGCAUUUUUUAUCAAUUUAACCAGAGUUUUACCAGUAGCAUAAAUUCUUUUGUUGUUUUGAUGGACUGAUUUUUCUGCAAAGCAAGUUUUGCAAGUAGUUGACAGUGUUUUAAUAUUUUGAAUGUUUGGCACCCUGAACUAAAUGUUAAGUUAUUUUCAUCUUCAUGUCUUAUGUACACAUUAAAUGUAUCCAGUAACUAGGCUGCACUUCUAAGCAAAAUUUCAGUAAAUGUGUGUAACCACUUAUAAAAAAUGUCAUGUACUUUAAGGGAAGUAACAUCAGUAAAAUGCAGUUAUAGAUCAUAUUCUUAGCAUAGCUGCAGUAUCUUCACUAUGCUAAAAAAAAGACUAAAGCAUCAUCAAGAAUUUGCAAGUUUAUUGUUGCUGAGUAUUGUGUUCUAGUGGUUAUAUUACCAGUUAAGGAAAUCUAAAUAUUUAAACUUAAUGUGUAUAGAGUUUAUUUUUUGUAGUUACUAAGGGGGCUGCUAGGAUGUUUCCAAUGUGUAUUUGGAAUGCAGCAAAUUAAAGAAACUUCAAAUAUUUA